rnacentral:rRNA from 1 species
AUGGUUAUCAUAAUCCUCAGAUCAAUAUAUCUGGUCUUGUUUACUCCCAGUAUACUGAUGGCACCAUUUGCGGAUACUCUUGGCAGUAAGUAUAGGAAAACAUGGCUCCGUCUUGUGCAUCGUACUUUGGAGAAGGCAGGUCCUGCAUUUAUUAAAUGGGGCCAGUGGGUGGCGACACGUCCUGAUCUAUUUGCAAACGACCUGUGUACCGAGUUGUCAAAGCUACACACAAAAGCACCAGCUCACAGCUAUGCAUAUACCAAGAAAACUGUCGAGAAGGCUUUUGGUCGAAAGAUAUCUGAAAUUUUUGAGAAAUUUGAAGAAGAACCUGUAGCAUCUGGAAGUGUUGCUCAAGUGCACCGGGCUGCUUUGAAAUUCCGACAUCCUGGCCAAAAGACGCCAAAGAUUAUAACAGUCGCAGUUAAAGUAAGACAUCCUGGUGUAGGAGACUCAAUACGGAGAGAUUUCAGUAUAAUUAAUGCUGUAGCUAAAGCUUCAAGAUAUAUUCUAGAUGAGAGUGUGCAACAGUUUGCUGUCUUCAUGAUGUCUCAAGUUGACCUUGCAAGGGAAGCUGCUCAUUUGAGCCGGUUUAUCUACAACUUCCGCAGGUGGAAAGAUGUGUCAUUUUCGAAACCUCUUUAUCCAUUUGUUCAUCCUGCUGUCUUGGUCGAGACUUACGAGCUUGGGGAGAGCGGCUCACACUAUGUGGAUGACCACGAUGGAGAGGAACGAGUUAAAAGUGCUCUUGCACAUAUUGGCACUCAUGCACUCUUGAAAAUGCUACUGUUAGCAGAAUCGUCUCUGCAGCAGAGAAUUAAUUGA